GCCGUGAAGUAAAACACCAUUCUUCCGAGAACCUCUGAGCUUAUACACAGAAUUCAGCCAUGAAGUUUCAAAUCCUGGUUUUUCUCCUGCUGCUGGCUUGCAUGUAUCCCAGUGUGGCACAAGGUUCCUAUGAAAACUGCUGUUUGAGGUACAUUGUAGGGGUGAGGAAGGCCGUAAGAAAAAACAUAGUGAGUUACAGAGAGCAGCAAACAGAUGGAGGAUGUAACAUUCCUGCUAUUGUUUUUAAGCUGAAGAACUCUAAGACGCUCUGUGGUGAUCCGAGACAAAUCUGGGUGCAAAAACUCAUGCGGACAAUAAAUAACAGAAACACAGGCUCUAUGUAGUGGACGAGUUUCUGCGACACAUUUGAUCAUGACACUGCAGACAAAACUGUUGUAUUUUUAACCACACACACAAAAAAAUGUCUAUUAUACUAAUACACUAUAAUAUGUAGUUUAUAACACCAUCACUCCUGCUGAUAUAUAUUCUACAUCAGACUGAAUCUUCAUGCUGAGGUUCAUAAUGAACUGCAUUGGUUUGCUUCUGUUCAUUGUAUUAGAACAAUAUGAAUGUACGAACUGUGAAUUUUAUACUUUGUAUAAUUUUAUCUCUUUUUUGAUGUUUUAGUCGAAUAUACGUGUAACCUGUGAACUGCAUAGCCUCUCUCUCUCUCUCUCUCUGUGUGUGUGUAUGUGUGUGCUUGGGUGGGUAAGAGGGCAUUCAGUAUAUAAUAAAGUGUUGCAAUUGUACAUUUAAA